GUAGCAGAGACAGGGAUGCUGGGGGACAUCCGGACCCCACCGUAGCAGCAAUCCCCAGUGUGGAGGGCCGCAGCCCAGGUUCUCUGGUGGCAUCAGGGCCCUAUGAUACCCCACGCCAGCCCUGAGCUGCCCAUCUCAUCCUGCCCAAGACUGGACUUGGACCGCAAUGUCAUCAUUGCCCAAGGGAGAAGGGGCCAACACAGGGACCCACAAUCACCCAUUCCAAUGCACGGGAGCCAAUACGCACACUGGAGAUGCAAGAUCCAUUCAAGACUACCCAGCUCCGGGCACCAACCCAGGCCAUCCACCCCUAGGACCACUGUCCAAGGCGACCCACAGUCAUUCACAGCUAUAGGAUGAGUUCUGAGUCUCCCGAAUUCAUUCAGUGAAACCCUAACCCCAAAGUGAAGAGAGCAGGAGGCGCGGCCCUUGGGGCGUGGUCAGGUGGGGGUGGAGCGUCCAGGGUGAGAUAGGUGUCCUUGAGCACGAGAGGACACAGCAAGAAGGCAGUGCUGGAGAGCCUUCGCCAGGUGUCAGCCCAGCCCCUCCACUGACAGGGUGACUGCAGGCCCAGAUGUGCAGAGCUCAGGGACCCACACUGCAUCCUCACACGGGAGCGACCCACACCUGGCACCAGCCACCAGCCCCACUCCGGGGCUGAUGUGCAGGCCCAGAUGUGCAGAGCUCAGGGACCCACACUGCAUCCUCACACGGGAGCGACCCACACCUGGCACCAGCCACCAGCCCCACUCCGGCAGACCCAUCGAAGCCUCCACGGCCAGGCUGUGCCAUGCUGACGUGGUCCAGCUGACAACGGCAGCAUGGAGAGCCCAGGUGGGGCCAGGGCUGGGGCACCACCCCACCAACCCCCUUCCCAAAACUCCAUCACCCCAGGGGCUCCCCAAAGUCCAAGCCCCUCAGGGAGCCUCAAUCUGGCCAAGCCUGUGGCCCACUGGGCUACACGUGGGAGAAGGAAGUACAUCCCUCCAAUAGGACGCCAUGGGGACCCCUCAAGACAGCAGGGCAACAGGAGGCUAGGGAAGGACCCUGCCCACCUCCAGCCUAGCACCGGCUGGAUGUCACCUUAGUGCCACCUGCAGAAAAUCUGAGCAAAGUCUCGGGCUAAACUGGCUUCAGGGUGGUAAACAAAGGCACGGCUGGCAUCUCACCCAGGGAAACCUCAGUCCCUGUCACCCAACCACGGUGACAAAUGUCAAGGUGCAGAGCCUGCUGGGCACUGCUGGCUCAUCUGCCAUUGGACAAGCCCUUGGCAUCUAUCCACAGGAUGGCCUGUGCCAGACACAGGCCAGGGACAGGAGUGUGCGGCCCUGACGGGAGGCUGCUGCAUCGACGACAAGCAAGCUGACUGUGCCAGCUCUGGCAGGGCCAUCGGGCUUGCUCAGAGGUGACACAGCCCAGAACACAGUCCUGACGAGGUCACGGCCCUGGAUGAGCCCCAACUCGCCUGCAGGUCCAUGACCCAUAGCCUCUGAAGACCAGCAGCAGCUGCAGAGUUGUCUGGGCCUCCCGCACCGGGCCUGGCUGUGUGUGCUGUGGACACUGUCCCCUCGUCUCACGCACAGGAGCACCGGGCUGGCUCUCCUGCUUGGAGCUCUUCCCCGCCCUGCUGGGAACUGCCCUGCGUACGCAGCAUUACCCCAUGGAGGCCUGGUCCCAACAGGGGCCUCAUGCAGAGCCUGGGGCUGACACCCACCCCUCCUGACUCUUCCCAGCCAGCCCUCCAUCUGCCCCCACCUGGGUGAGCAUUUUCUUCCUGCGGGACCCUGAUGACUGGAUUCUGGGCCACGUGAGCGACUCACGUGGGUAAAGGAUAGCCAGUGAUCACCAAACCUGGCUCCUGCCCUGCCCAGUGCUGUCCCAUGUCGGACCUCAGCCGCUGUGGACGGCACGCUGCCCACUGGCCCUGCUGGGCUCCCCGGAGCUGCGUCCAGGGUUAAGGCUUGUCAGUGUUGCUGCCAGGAACCUGGGGAGCAGGAAGUGGGGUCACCCUCAGGAACUGAACACCCAGAGCCAGCGGGCAUGGCACAGCCCACAUGUGCCCUCCCACCUGGCAGCUUGUGUCAGGGCACUGCAGCCGGGCCAAUGGGCCACGAGUCCGGAGGACCUGGGCGGUCAAGGCAGCCAGGUCAGAGCCUCCCUAGGCAGAGGCACGAAGGCUGCCCGGGGCACAGGCAUGUAGUUCACCAGACAGCAACGGAGAGGAGACCCAGCACAGCCCCUCCACCUGGCGCACAGUGCCUGCUGCCCACUUCGGGGCACCAUCCAACAGCAGCAUGGGGCGCUGGCAUUCCCACUUCCUGGCAGGUCACCCCAGGCUGGCACAGGAAGGCUGGGCUGGCAGCCAUGCACAGAGCAAGGCCACAUCAGGUCCCGCUCAGUAGGGGUGUAACAGCCAGAAUUCUAGAUGGGGGCAUGCACAGCCCACAUCCCUUGUGAGGCCAAGCUCCAGGGUGGCCUCCCUGACAGCCCCUGUCCCCAAACACCUGGCAUCAGACAGGACUCAGGAGUUCCAGGCCCAGCUGCCCUUCCUGCCUUGGAGAGGGCACAAGCCCAACAAUCAGGAAAUGGGAUUAAUUCUCUGCCGACUCCAGACAUUCCAGCGGCAUCCCUAUUAAGUGGGCAUCAUUCCCUCCUCCCUGGCCCAGACAAGGAGCUCCCCAGGAGGCAGAGGAGUCCCCAGGCUGGAGCACUGUGGGCAGCGGGCUCCUUCCACUCUUCUCAUCCACUCCUGGUCAGUUUCCAUGGAACCUGUCUGGCCUUCCAGAUUUUUAAAAAACUGCAGGUGUCCAGAGCCUCAACUGGAUCACAAUGCCACCCCUCUCUGUGCCCAGCACAUGAGAAACAGGACAGGACGGCAGGCGGCACACACAGGGUUAACCAUCUCUCUCCCGCUGCUCUCAGGGUGCCCAGCCGGGGAUGUGCCGUCGCCAUGGUGACAGCUAUCCUAGGAAGCCAGGGAGCAUCGGGAGGCUGAGUGACAGGUGCAGGCAGGCAGAUGGGUCGUUUUAACCCAGCGCUCCCCAGCCCAUCAGUCAGUCAAUCAUACACUGCUGCCAAGCCGCCCAAAGGCUCCUCUCCGGCAGAGGCCCACUCGGCCUCCCACCCGCCCUCAGGGAAAGCCGCCUGGGGCUCCAGGGCCACACUCCGGCCCAUUCUUUCACUGGCUCAGCAACUAGAAGGAGCUCGGGGUGCUCCUUCGCCUGUGCAUGCCAGACGCCCUCUGCCCUCGAGCCCAGGACCAGACCACGGGGCAGGGACCUCGGCAGCCUCUAAGGUUGCAGCCCAGUCCUUGAGAAAGCGCAGUCUGCGCUAACCUAACCAUGUCAGCCCUCUAACACUCAGAGACUGGUGGGGGCUGUGGCGGCCUCCCGGGGCUGGGCGUCCAGUGGCCACCACAUGGGCUCAGUAGAAAGGCCUGCCCUGGCCCUUGGCUGCCCUGCAUCCCCCACUGUCCUCCUCGUACUGGCUCGCCUGGUCUAUGCGGCCUGACCAACGUCUGCAGUGGAACCGUGCUCUGGGCUGGCCCUCUGUCCAUCACUGCCCUCUGCAGACCCCACCUUCCCAGGGGGCCAGAACUCACUGGCACAGUGGCUCUGAAGGGUGGAGCUCUUGGCAGAAGCUGAGUUCACAAAGAUAUCGGGGUCAGGGCCAGCUGGUAACCAAGAUCCAGACCUCAGGGUUCAACACCUUUCAGUCAUCCACCCAGUGAACACUUGGUGUGUGUUCUGCCUAAGGACACAGGGACGAACUGGGUGCUGGCCUGCCCUGGGUUCAUCCAGCCAGGGUCCCCCUGGAUGGACGUCCACGGCCUGGGAUGGCUCCCAAGAGCUCUAACCCAAUCCUACAACCAGAACUCAGACGGGCACUGACACAACAGCUGAUUGCAGCCAACCGGAUUGUGAAAUGGAUAAGGUAGAGACCAGUGCCAGAGAGCCAGGCGGCCCGGCCAGUGAUUCCUGAGGGCCACAAGGGACGUUAUGCAUGGUACAUCACCAGAGUCAGGAAGGCUGGAUCCAGCCCUUGGACAAGACAGCUGGAAAGCCGGAGCAGGGACAGAGACCCCAAGUGUCCCAACAGUGGGAGCACAAACCACCAGAUCUGGCCACUAGUGAAGUCAAGGGCAUGGUGGUGCCACCAACCCUGAAUCCCAAAGUGGGUUGGUCAGUGGGGCAUGGGGACCAACGCGCUCAGGCCUGCAUAAUUCCAAGAAGAAAGCCCAGAGACACCAAGCCUCUGUGCACCUGCUGCACUGGCUGCUCCAGGGAAGGUGGCCUUCCUGUGAGUGACAAAGGCAAAGCCAGCACUUCCUGCUCUGCUGCCUCACCCGUGCAGAAGGGGCCACUCGGGAUGACCAGGACUCCUGGCUUGCCAGCUCAGGGGUUCUCUAGAGCGCUAGGCCCUCUCUAGAGCGCUGUUGCAUGUCAGCCCCAACUAGACCACUUCUGCUGCCGGGACACCCAGGCCUGGAGGGCACAGCCAGCCUCACAGCCCAGCGCCUGGGUCCCGCAGCCCCCGAGGGCUCCCAGGUGACACGGUUUCCUGCAGGCCCCAGGUCCAGAACCUCAGGGUAGUGGGAUGAGCUGUGUCGCCCAAAAUGCUACGUCCAACCUCUGGUACCUGUGACUGUGCCUUAUCUGGAGAGAGGAUCUUUGCACGUAUAACCAUAGUCAGGGCCUCAGAAGGACUCGGGGUGGAUGGAGGGUGGGCUCUAAACACAGUGACCUCAUGAGCAGAGAGACCGAAGAGGCCGUGUGAAGACAGAGACAGCGUCAGAGUGGAAGAGCCCCACGCCAAAGCAAGGAGGGGUGCUACGGCCCCCAGAAGGGUUUCCCACAGCCUCCGGCAGGGCAGACCUGCCCUGCAGCGACUCCUGGCCUAGGACUGUGAGGAGCCCCAGCCGGAGAAGCCUGGUGUGAGCAGCCCCGGCCACGUGCACACUCCAGGUCCUAGGCUUGCACCCUUGCUCCGGCCUUCGCAGCCCCACCAGCACCUUCUGCUCCUGGGGGCCCUUCUUCGUCCUCUCUCAACAGGCUGAGCGCCCCGGGAGGGUCCCACCCCCACAGCCUCGUGGCCCCCUGCAAGGAGCGAAAAGCCACUAAGAACAGCCAACCCUGAGUGGGGGCGGAGCGGGGCAGGCCGGGGAGCGGCCUCCGGCAUCUGCAGAAAGGUGGGAGGGCUCACAGGUGCCACCAGCGAGGACCGCAGCCCCCGACCACACCCCACCGGCUCUGGAUCACAGCAGAGCAGGAAAGAGGAAGAAGAGCGUGCGCCAGGCGUGCGCGGCGGCCAGCAGCAGCGACAGGAGGCUGGCGAGCAGGCUGAAGCGGCAGGCGGCCGG